ACCCACGGCCCCCGCCCUUGACCCAGGGCCACAGGGUUUCCCAUCCACACAGGCUGCUUCGGCGUUGGUUCGCUGGAAAGGUCUUUACACUUUGCACCUGGUGAAUGUUAAAGUUACAAGAUGAGUUCUUCAAAGCCAGUCAUUCCUCCAGUCCCACGCACCUUGUUCUUGUGUCUGAGCAGAGGGUCUCUGGCAUCUGCAGCUGGUUUGCUCCGUGAGGUGAAUGAGGAGACAGAACUUCAGCGGUGGUGUUCUUUGCCCCCGUCUGUGGUUGUAGAUUGCCCACAAGAGACUGUACCACUGGAACUGGACUACCAGGGAGAAGGCAUAAAGCACAGAGUAACGCCACCAUUGUCGUCUAUAAAAGGUACCUUGAUAAUCACUGGAAACAAAAUGAUAGAAACAGAAAAUGAAGGGGCUACCCAAUGCUUAAAUCUUCUCUUUAGCCCCCCUACCAAUGUAUUAUUCCACCUCUGCUGAAAUUCCUCUAGUGGUGGGGAACCUACAGAAGUGGGCCGCCUAUUCCAUAAUAAUAAAGCUAGCUUUCAUUGAACGUUUA